rnacentral:rRNA from 1 species
CCUACGGGAGGCAGCAGUAGGGAAUUUUCGUCAAUGGGCGCAAGCCUGAACGAGCAAUGCCGCGUGAACGAGGAAGGUCUUCGGAUCGUAAAGUUCUGUUGAAGGGGAAAAAGAGCGGAGAGAGGAAAUGAACUCCGAUUGAUAUUACCCUUCGAGGAAGUCACGGCUAACUACGUGCCAGCAGCCGCGGUAAUACGUAGGUGGCGAGCGUUAUCCGGAAUGAUUGGGCGUAAAGGGUGCGUAGGCGGCCUGCUAAGUCUGGAGUGAAAGGUACCGGCUCAACCGGUACAGGCUCUGGAAACUGGCGGGCUAGAGAGCAGGAGAGGGCGGUGGAACUCCAUGUGUAGCGGUAAAAUGCGUAGAUAUAUGGAAGAACACCAGUGGCGAAGGCAGCUUACCAAACUAUAUCUGACGUUGAGGCACGAAAGCGUGGGUAGCAAACAGGAUUAGAUACCCCUGUAGUC